UACGGGGGGGGCAAGCGUUGUUCGGAAUUACUGGGCGUAAAGGGCUCGUAGGCGGCCAACUAAGUCAAACGUGAAAUCCCUCGGCUUAACCGGGGAACUGCGUCUGAUACUGGAUGGCUUGAGUUUGGGAGAGGGAUGCGGAAUUCCAGGUGUAGCGGUGAAAUGCGCAGAUAUCAGGAGGAACACCGAUGGCGAAGGCAGGUCUCUGGGCCACUACUGACGCUGAGAAGCGAAAGCAUGGGGAGCGAACAGG
rnacentral:rRNA from 1 species